rnacentral:lncRNA from 1 species
AGCGAUUAGUAUAACCAAACCAAAGCUUACUAACAUAGAAAGAGGGAGCGUGAUAGGAUGAAAAGAUUCAUUAUACUAGAGAUAAAAUAAUGAGUGAUGAAGACAAGAGGCAAAUAUUUUUUUCUUUUAUUAUUAUUAUUUUUUGUAAUUUUUAUAUGCAAGGCAAUGCCAAGUGGACGAUGAACACAUUUAAAAAAAUAUGUUGUGGUUAAAAUAAAGAUUAAAAAAAUAAAUGAGUGAUAUGCAUAAACAUCUAGGCUUUAGCUUUUUCCUAUGGCGUGGCCCAUCCA